CCCUUAGAUGUCCUGGGCCGCACGCGCGUUACACUGAUGCAUUCAACGAGCUUAUAACCUUGACCGAGAGGCCUGGGCAAUCUUGUUAACGUGCAUCGUGAUAGGGAUAGAUUAUUGAAAUUAUUAAUCUUGAACGAGGAAUUCCUAGUAAACGCAGAUCAUCAAUCUGCAUUGAUUACGUCCCUGCCCUUUGUACACACCGCUCGUCGCACCUACCGAUUGGAUGGUCCGGUGAAGCCUCGGGAUUGUGGUUCUUGCCGCUUUAUUGUGGCGUGACCGCGAGAACUUGUCUAAACCUUAUCAUCUAGAGGAAGGUGAAGUCGUAACA
rnacentral:rRNA from 1 species